CCUUAAUUAAAUUUUUUCCGGAAUAGUAAUUUCUUUUUCUGGAAAAGUAAUACCAAUUUGCGGAAACGUAAAAACGCCGCUACUUAUUUCGGAAAAGUAAUGCACGAAAAUGCGGAAACGUGAAAUUGGACUUUUGGAAAAAAAAAAAUAACUACUAAAGGACAUGUUAGCGCCGACAUGAGUUGUAAGAAAAGAUUUCCAAAACAACCAUAUCAUUAAGAAGGAAUGUUUACAUGCUAUACUCUCGUACUAGUAUUACAGGGUUCUUGUGGCGUUCACCUUAGACACACAUCUUUUUAACGAUGUUUAACAAGAAAAUCCCUAUUUAGCGGACAAGCAAUUUUUUUUCUGUUAUUGAAUAUCGAGAAAGAAAAUAAAUCCCGAAAUUAAUUUGGAACUUUGAUACUCAAUAGUUUCCCAUCAAAAUAUUCACAAUUAGUGUUCGUCCAGUGGCAUACAUAACAAUCUUAUUUCUAUGUGCAAUCAACAAUGAGCAAAACCCUAACCUUGUAGUCAUUUAUAAAAGACCCGAAAUGAUAAAUGUAAAAACAAUUCAAACGAGAAAACUAACGGCAUGAUUUAUGUACAAAAUGUGAAAAUUC
rnacentral:lncRNA from 1 species